UACGGGGGGAGCAAGCGUUGUUCGGAUUUACUGGGCGUAAAGGGCGCGUAGGCGGUCAGCACAAGUCAGUUGUGAAAUCUCCGGGCUUAACCCGGAAAGGUCAACUGAUACUGUGCGACUAGAGUGCGGAAGGGGCAACUGGAAUUCUCGGUGUAGCGGUGAAAUGCGUAGAUAUCGGGAGGAGCACCGGUGGCGAAGGCGGGUCUCUGGGCCGAUACUGACGCUGAGGAGCGAAAGCGUGGGGAGCGAACAGG
rnacentral:rRNA from 1 species